GGAGAGGUGGCCGAGUUGGCUUAAGGCAGCGGUUUGCUAAACCGCCGUUCCGAAUUAAAUCGGGACCGGAGGUUCGAAUCCUCUCCUCUCCGCCA
rnacentral:tRNA from 1 species